UCCUGCUCCAGGAGAGACGUGCUCAGCAUAGCACACCUGAUCAACCCAUCCAAGACGGAAAGUGCUGGAGACAGUCAUCUGCAGUGGCCUAACUGAAGCUUGUGCUAACAUGGGGAGCGCAGCUCAUUGUGUUCCCUCUUGUCUCCUGAACAGUGGCAACGGGGUCCACGCAGCCCACACUUUCUAUUUCUAGAACAUUUCUGUGAGAGGCUCCUUAAAGAACAAAGGUCUUGCUCAGGGCAAACUUCAAGGAAGUCAAGGUGAGAGAAGAUGAGCAAAAUGGGCGUUGCACGUUACCUUCAAGUGGCCCAAAGUAAUGAAGAAAUACUGACUGCCCAUUGCUAGAAUCAGAGAAAUUAAAAAUGAGUCUCUGCCUUGCCUUUGAGGAGCUAAAUAUAGUGGGAAAGGUA